UUAUUGAUCAAUGGCUAAGGAUGUUGAGGUUGGUGGUGAGUUCCAAGCCAAGGACUACCAUGAUCCUCCACCAGCUCCAUUGGUAGAUGCCCAAGAGUUAACUCAGUGGUCCUUUUACAGGGCUAUAAUAGCUGAGUUCAUUGCCACCCUUUUGUUUUUAUACAUCACUGUGUUAACAGUGAUCGGAUACAAGAGCCAAGUUGAUCCAGAUAAGGGUGGUCAAGAUUGUGAUGGUGUUGGCAUUCUUGGUAUUGCUUGGGCCUUUGGUGGCAUGAUUUUCAUCCUUGUUUACUGCACUGCUGGUAUCUCAGGUAAUAAUAUCUUAUACACACUCGUUUUUGAACGAUAUGGUUAAAACUUUAAAGGGUGUUUUCUUAGCAUGUUUAUUUGGUGAUAUGUAGGGGGACAUAUCAACCCAGCAGUGACCUUUGGGCUUUUCUUGGCUCGUAAGGUAUCAUUGGUUCGAGCCAUACUUUAUAUGGCUGCUCAAUGUUUAGGAGCCAUUUGUGGGUGUGGGUUAGUCAAGGCAUUCCAAAAGAGUUAUUACAACAAGUAUGGUGGAGGAGCUAAUAGCUUGGCUGAUGGAUACAGCACUGGCACUGGUUUGGCUGCUGAAAUUAUUGGCACAUUUGUGCUUGUUUACACUGUUUUCUCUGCAACUGAUCCCAAAAGAAACGCAAGAGAUUCUCAUGUUCCUGUAUGUCUCUUAAUUCAAUCCAACACCACACACAAGUUCAUUGACAAGUAUGUUUUUAGGGACUAAUUUUUUCUACAUCUUGAAGGUGUUGGCACCACUUCCCAUUGGGUUUGCUGUGUUUAUGGUUCAUUUGGCAACUAUUCCGAUCACCGGAACCGGAAUCAACCCUGCUCGUAGUUUCGGAGCUGCUGUUAUGUUCAACCAGGACAAGCCAUGGGAUGACCAUGUAUGAACCUUCAUUUAUACAAUUGAUUUUCUAUUUUUUUCCUUUGUUUUAUACGGCUCCUAUUAAACAUAUUUUUAUAUCUGUUUGGAAUAUUGCAGUGGAUAUUCUGGGUUGGACCAUUCAUUGGAGCUGCCAUUGCUGCAAUUUAUCACCAGUAUAUCCUCAGAGCAGGAGCUGCUAAAGCUCUUGGAUCCUUCAGAAGCAGCUCAGCCAUGUAAAACAAAGGGGUUGCCAUUGAAGAAUGGAUCAAGUUUUAUCUAUGAUUGUGAAGAGAAUUUUUCAGAGCAUUGAAUUUGUAAAUCAUAAUGGAAAUGUGACAUGCUUCUUUAUAUUUGGCACUUCAAUUUUUAAAGUGCCCCAAGUGUAGUCAUCAUCCCUGUUUUUCUUUCUGUUUUUGGCUUUGUCUUGGUGUCUGUAUGUUGAAAAUUUAAUAGAAUCUACGCCUUUUACUUUGCUUUAAAUGAUUUGAGUGUUAAUUCAGCUGAUGUGAACUUUAUUAUUAUUUUUUUAUUUGCUUGUAUCACUUCGAUACCUUUGCUAUCUAUCUCGAAUAUCACCCUCUCUAAGCCUAAACCUAUACUAGUUGGAGCUCCUCAAGACCACCUCAAAGUUCCAUUAAAACCACAUAACAACGACCCCAACUCCCUGAUGAUCCCGUAUUUAACCUCCUGCUACAGCAAUCCCAAACAAUUGACAAGCCGAUGUGAACUUUAUUAAUCAAGAAACUAGAGAUAGUAGUGGUUGCUUAUUCAGUAUAGUGAUCAACCACAAAAGCUACAUAACUUCUUCCGAACAUUACCGGAUGCUGAAAACGAUAACUAGUAGACGACCAGUGAUAUGCGGCGGCUGUGUGGGGGACUAAAUACAACGUGGCAUUACAACAGUGGUUGAGCUAAUCAGUGCUGGUGAUGGUCGGUGUGACCGCAGCGGAAAUUGACAGUGAUGGGUGUCGAAAUUUACACUGAUUAGUGGGUUCAAACAUUUUAGCCACGCCUACACCUCUCUAUAGACCAGCUUGUUGAGCCUUCAAUUUAUUUGGAUUUUUCAUUCAACUCAAUUGAUUUAUAUCUAUUCAUGAAUCAAUGAUUAGUUCUAAAUUAUUUUACUAAUAAAUUUUUGGUUUAAUUAAUUUAACCAAUUAUUUUAAUCUAAUUCUAAAAAAAAUGGAUUCGGUCUAUUUAUGAGUAUAAAUUUAAAUAUUAUUGUUUUAAAUAAUUUUUAAAUUUAAAUAUUUUAAUUAAUAUCCAUUUUACUUUUUUGAAUAAUAGAUUCUGGUUCUAAUCUUGAUAUUUAUUUUUAAAAUUUUUUUUAUUUUAUUAGUAAUGGAUUUGAAUGAUAUCAAAAUCUAUUAUCCAAUUUACUUUUUACAUUUUCUAUUUUACAAUUUUUUACUUAAUAAAUUCUUUAUAUUUAAUAGAUUUAGAUAUUCAACGAAUAAUUUAAUUUAUUAUAAUUGUAAUUUGAAUAAUAAUACUCAUAUUAAAUAUAAAUUUAAAUAAUAAGUAAAUUUAAAUUUUAAAAUAAAUUUACAAAUAUAAAAUUAAAGUUUACAACAAAAUAUAAAUAUUCAACUCGAUAUAAUCCAUAUACAAAGAAUUAGAUUAUCGCACACCCAUAAUUUAGAUGAAAAAAUUAUUUAAUAAAUUGAUAAAAAUAUUUUUUUAGUCUCUCUCGUGAGUAAAUUGGUUUUACUCGAAAAAUUAAAGUAAUUUAAUCCCUGCCAAUUUUGAAAGUGAGCAACUAAAAAGAAUUAAUCACAUUAAUGUUUUUUGUCAAUUGUACGUAUUUUUAUUGGCAUAAUAACAAAUUUAGCCCACAACAUUUACACAUUCUAUAAAUUUGGUCCUAGUUUAACAAAUUUAACCUGCAACAUUUGCACAUAAUAUAUAAGUAUUGAAUGCUAAAUUUGUUAUCAUACCAAUCAAAAUUAUGCACAAAUUGACAGAAAAUAUUAACGUCGUAAUUAAUUAUCCUUAGUUGAUCACUUUUAAAGUUGAUAGAGAUUAAAUUGCUUCAUUUUUUUAGAGUGACCAAUUUAUUCAAUAUCAAUUUUGAAAGGGGUUGGAUAAGAAAUUUUACCAAAAAAUAAAACAAAUGUUAAACUUCACAAAUACCUUUUUUCUUACUUCUACCCAUAAUUCUUCUAAAGAAAAAAUGCAUUUAAGCACCCUUAAAUCUACAUCCGUCUAAAUAUUGCAAUAGCAAUUAUAUCAACUGAAUUAAACUUAACCAAUCAACCAACAAAAUGAUAAUAAAUUAAGAUUUCACUCUAUAUUUUACUCGCUAAUACUUCCUGCCAACUAUGUUCUUGUCCAUAUAUAUCCAUAACCCAUUUGUUGAAAGGAGGAGAAGCUAGGGUCAACCAAGGGCCCCAAAAAUGAAAAUUAUUAUUUUAGUCCUUUGAAUGUUUCUAAAGUUUUAAGUUAAUUGAAUGGUAAAAUUAUAUUUUAAUCUCUUUAUAAAUUUUGUAUUAAAUUUUGUCAUCUUCAGAAACAAAAAGUUUAUAGUUUAAUCCCUUGAAACUUGUAAAUUUUACAAUAAUACAAUGACGAAAUUAUAUUUUUAGCUCACUCAAAAAUUUAUAAUUCAAAUUCAGCCACUCCAAAAAAAAAUUCUGAUUUUGCCCCUAUUUUUGAGUUUUUCUCUAUAAACAUUCACACUAGUGCUAGCAAGAAAAUUUGAGAAAUCAAAAAUUGACUCAACCCGAAGUCUUGAAUGGUUUAUAAAAUAUAAGUUAAAAAGUUAUAGUUACUCGAAUUAGAUUCAAAUCAAAUAUUAAUUUUUUACUUUUAUGAUGUAAAAAUAAAUAUUUUUAUAUCUAAAAUUAAAAAUAAACUUAAAAUUUUUAUAUAAUUUUUUAAAAAUAAUUAAUUUUUUUAUUUUUUAUUUACUUGAAAAUUUAUUUUUUAGAGUAAUUUAUUAAAAAACUUACCAAACCAAACCAAUACCACCCUCAACAAAUACUCAUGACCUUAACACACCAUUUCAUGUGAUCCUAGCUGUUCCAUUUACAGCCAUUGCUUGGCCCACGGUCCCACCAUAUGCUAUACACGUGGCGAAUUAUUAGCCUCUUAUCAGGUAUGGCUAUGAUUUUUCCAGUUUUGGCCUUAUUCAAUUUUUUUUCUCACUUUUCGCCUAAUCAACCGACCCUGGAAUUUUCCAUAUUUUUUUUAAUUGGACAUUUUGGGAAGUUUGUGGAUCUCCAUCAUCAUUGCAAAGAAGGACAAUAAUAAUGAUUAUGUCUUUUGGAACCACCCAUCUAAUUAAAAUUGCAUUUAAUUGAGAAAUUAAAUAUAUUAUCCUGAUUCAAUUAUUAUUAAAUAGUCAAUUGAAUUUUAAUUUAAUUAGCAUGGGUGUUAUUAUUAGUAUAGGAGAUCAUGGGUCUGUGUAUAUUGAAGUACAUUAUCCUAUAAAUUAAUAGUUGAAGAGAGACUAGAGAAAUUUUAAGUAUAUUAUAAGAAAAAUAGAUAUAAUGAGAAUUUAUAAUAAAAUUGUUGAAAUGUUUAAUAAAAAAUAACAAUUUCCCCACUUUUAUUACCAACUUUUAUUUUUAUUUUUUUUAAGAACAUGAAAUAGCUUCCACUACGUAUGUAUAUACACAUGCAAAUACAUAUGGAGUUUUAAUCUAACUUAUGCUUGAACAAUUACAUCAUAAAAAAGUUGAUCAUGAUUCAAACUGCCAUUAUUAUUAUCCUUCCAAAUCUAAGGGAGAGGCAAGGAAUCAAAGUCCAAACAGGCAUCAAUGGUGGGGUCUCAGACAAUGAAACAAACCCUACUUUUGUCAUAUGGGGCGGCAAGGCUAUGUAUUGACACUCACUCAUUCAUUUGAACCCCCAUAUAUACCCCCACUCCACUUCUCAAUACUUCCCAUCACCACAAUAUUCUUCAACUAUCUCUUUGACAAAGGAGAGCACAAAAAAAAGGUGUUCUUGUUCUUGUUCAAGUUAUUGAUCAAUGGCUAAGGAUGUUGAGGUUGGUGGUGAGUUCCAAGCCAAGGACUACCAUGAUCCUCCACCAGCUCCAUUGGUAGAUGCCCAAGAGUUAACUCAGUGGUCUUUUUAUAGGGCUAUAAUAGCUGAAUUCAUUGCCACCCUUUUGUUUUUAUACAUCACUGUGUUAACAGUGAUUGGAUACAAGAGCCAAGUUGAUCCAGAUAAGGGUGGUCAAGAUUGUGAUGGUGUUGGCAUUCUUGGUAUUGCUUGGGCCUUUGGUGGCAUGAUUUUCAUCCUUGUUUACUGC
rnacentral:lncRNA from 1 species